UCUUCUUUAGGAAUGGAGGAGCUCAUCCAUCUAUGAGGUGCUACAAAAGUAGCUGGAUUUGGGGAUUCAAGCAGAUGCAAAAAUCCAGGGUUGGCCAGAUCAAGGGUUCAGCUUGAGAGGGGGAAUAUUUAGGUCAGUACAGACACCUGAGUUCCCCAGUCCUCGAGGAACCAACAGGAUCGUGGGCAAGUUCCCCUGGCUGUUACUGGAGGGGUCGUUUUGGAAAUGCUUUAGGGCAGGGACCUCGGAUUGGAGCUGCAGGUGCUUCCAUCUGGACAUUUGGACACGUGGGACAGAAAUGGGGGAGCUGCUGGGUGAGACGGGCACUCAGAGUCCUCAAGAAAACAGGUGAGGGCUGCUGGCUGCUGCAGAAAGGGACCUCAGUGCCCUGGGUGUGGUCCCAGCCUGGCUGGCAAAUUGCUCCUGCCUGGGGCAGCCCCAUGCAGACAGGGCUGCACAACAAAGGAGCUGGGAGGGUUUGUGUUCAGCACUAAAACCCUUCCUGGCAGCAGCAGAAAGGCUGGAACCCAGCUCUGGAGAGCUCUGCUCGAGUCCUGGCCGCUGCAGC
rnacentral:lncRNA from 1 species